UUUUCCAGUUACUCUUUCUCUCUCUAAACUCAGUUAUAUUCUCCUUUUCUUGCUCUGACUUCUCUCUAUUUUUCCACCACUUUCCACCGUUGAAAUUUCAAAUAGGUAGUGUGCUCUCGUUCACGGAGUUGAGAGUUUCCCUUUCAUCCGAUUGAAAUUCUGAUUUGGACGGAUGGCGAGAAGGUUCCUUUGGAGACAGCUUUGGAAGCCAAGGACGAUGUUGCUGCCUAGUCUCCUAAAAUGUUAUUAGUUUGAUUGCUUAUUCUGAAAUACUAAUUCCCAUUUCAGCUUAUAUUUUAUCUCUUUUUGGAGUUUAAGCUUAUAUUCUGAAGUUACUUAGAGGAUGACUGUAAUCCUAUUUACUCUCAACUGCUUUCCUAUAUUAUGCAUGUGGACGUCUUUAUUAUAUAUGCUCUCUAUA
rnacentral:sRNA from 1 species